GCUGGGUGUGGUGGUGCACGCCUGUAGUCCCAGCUACUUAGGAAGCUGAGGCAGGAGGAUAGCUUGAACCCAGGAGGUGGAGGUUGCAGUGAGCUGAGACUGUGCCAUUGUACUCCAGCCUGGGUGACAGAGCAAGACUCUGUCUCUC
rnacentral:SRP_RNA from 1 species